UACGUAGGGAGCAAGCGUUGUCCGGAAUCAUUGGGCGUAAAGCGCGCGUAGGCGGCCCGGUAAGUCCGCUCUGAAAGUCCAGGGCUCAACCCUGGAAUGCGGGUGGAUACUGCCGGGCUAGAGUCCGGAAGAGGCGAGUGGAAUUCCUGGUGUAGCGGUGAAAUGCGCAGAUAUCAGGAGGAACACCGGUGGCGAAGGCGGAUCUCUGGGCCUUACCUGACGCUGAGGCGCGAAAGCUAGGGGAGCAAACAGG
rnacentral:rRNA from 1 species